AUGCCAGGAGGAUUGAUACCAGAAAGUUGCGGUUUUGAUUUUGUGGUUGGUUUGAUAAUUCUACAAGUUCCAUUUCUCUACUACAACAUCACCUUCUACUUUUUCAACCUUUCGUUCUUCACUUCGUAUCGUAAUCGCCUUCUUAACUACAUCAACGAAAUAUCUUGUUCGAUGAAAUGCCACAAAGGAAUAAACGUGUGGCAGGAAGCAUUGAAGAAAUCCUUACGAUUGAAUUUCUGUUUGAGUGGUCUUCUAUCAAUUGGAGUUCCACCAUAA